CAGCAAGGAAGUGCCAGAGUUGGGGUUUAAACCCAGGGAAUUCAGCUGCAGCCCUUAACACCUACAUUCCCAAAUCCUCUAAAAUGAUAGUUUUUGUUUGUUUUUUAAAGCAAGGGCUCCCUCUCAACAAUUACUGAGCUCUUCUUGCUUACCUUUCUUGUGGCCAUCUUUCCAGGUGCAUACAAUCAUUCCCAUUCCCCAGGUGUGCACAAUCAUUCCAUUACUCCUUUAUGCUUCGGUACCAUUAAACCAAGGCAUAAACGAGUAACUCUUGGAGUCGAGAUGCUUUUAUGUCCAAAGUGAAAUUCUCAAGAGUUUGUGAGGCUCAUCCACCCUCGGGCCAGCUCAGGGAAGGAACCAGCAGGAACCCAAAGCCUCUGCCUUUUCCAGUCUCCAGGCCCCUGCUGCCACCACUGCCCCAGUCAAGGCCCUCAGCAUGCCCCAACUCAGAGGUGCACCCUCAUUCAUGCUACCCUUCCGAGACCUGCUUCCCCACCCCAGACUGGCUGAAGACCCCAUGGACUCCCGCCCAGCCAAGGGAGAGAGCUGAGAACACUCGACAAAGGGGCUUCAGUGAUGUCAUCUUUGACAGGUGGGAAACUGAUCAGAAACGCCAAAACAUUUGCCCAAACUGCUGACAGUAAGAGGUAACAGUUGGACCGGAGCCAUGCCUCUAAGACUACCAUUAAGGCACUGUCAGGCAGGUCUGUAUGAGGCCCGGUGCCCAAGGCACCCAAGAACUGCAGAGAAUCCUUUGAAAAUGUUUGAGACCCAGAUGCAUAAACACUUGGGCUCUAGAAUGCAAAAGGGGAACGCCAAGUCCAAAUGAACCCAUGUUUUAUUAUGUUUAAGAACAGGAUGUCAACUUUAUUGUGGUUAAAAUCCAUCCAUCUGGAAAGAGGCUUGGGUUGGGAAUGCUCUCCCUGAGAAGACCCCAAGCAGAUCGCCGGCAGUUGUCUACUUUAGAGAGCUGCCUGUGGCCAAUAGAUUUCCAAAGCAAAAUGAUAAAUUACAAGAAUAAUUAACCCGAUGCGCAUUUAGCACGUGGAGAGUCUGCUUCGAGUUGGGAGUGUUUUAACUCCUUUAAUCCCAACAUCGCCUCUACUGGGUGCGGCUGUUUUGAUACAGGUCCAUGCGAUGGGGAAACUGAGGCACAGGGAAGUCAAAGAGCUGAGGAGGGACACAGCUGGGGUUUGAACCUCACCAGACCCCCUCAUGUGGUCGGCACUCUUGACCCCUGUGCUGUCUUCAGCCUUGUGUUUCACGGCAGAGUCUUCAGUGGAAUUGGAGAUGCGGAUACCAUGGUGACCGUUUGAUUUUGAAAGGGUAUGGAUGUCGGGCACGGCGCAGUUUGGGGUUCCAGAUCUGGACGAUGGUGGGAAGCUAGGUCAGGACUCCUCUAUGUCCCCUCCAAUCCCCGUUCUCCUCCCCGGACUGCAAGCCACCCAAGGCAGGUCGCCUCCCGCCCUGGACCUGGCUGCCAGACAGGAUGCAGCCCCGCCCCUGACCACGCCCUGGUGGCCGGCUCUGAUUGGAUCCGGGUGGGUGUAACCCCUAGAGCAGUACUUCAUACAACAGCUGGUAGCGAAUUAGAGGACGUACUUCGAAAGAUCGGCCUGCAAGGCUCUUCUUGCGCGGUGAUUGGCUCCCAAUCUUCCCUUCUCCUCUAGCAUCUGCCUCCAAACUGUGUCUCAGCAGCAAGUUGUUUAGAAGCUAAGGCUGGGGCUCAGAAAACAUUGUCUCCCCGUUGCCCAGUAGCAUACAGAGGGAGCUCAAGCAAUCGAUAUAUGUUGGACUUCCCUGGUGGACCAGUGGUUAAGAAUCCGCUUGCCAAUGCAGGGGACACGGGUUUGAUCCCUGGUCUGGGAAGAUUCCACAUGCCAGCAGAGCAACCAAGCCCAGUGCACCUCAACUACUGAAGCCUGAGGGAUCUCGAGCCCGCGUUUCUGCAGCUACUGAAGCCUGUGGUGCCCUAGAAUCUGUGCUCCUCAACAAGACAAGCCAAAGCAAUGACAAGCUGGCUAGACUAGAGACUAGAGAGUAGCUCCAUUUUCACAGCUAAAGAAAGGCUGCGUGCAGCAACAAAGAUCCCGUGCAGCUGAAGAUAAGUAAAAUUUAAAAAGAAAUAAAUAUCGACUGGUAUAAUUAAUGAAUUAAUCUGGUAGCAGAGAUUUGGGAGCUCUCCACCCUUGUGAAACAGAAACAGGCCCUGUGGGGCCUUCCCAGUGACAGACAUCUGUGUUCCCCACUUCUUGCUUGUAGAAAAAGCUUUUAGCCUCUUAGGCCUUAUCUGAGAGCAGACUCAGCAAUUGAUGAUUGGAGAAGUGGGAAAUCAGGGACAAAAAUGAAGCAGUCAAGCGGGAAAGUAAUAGCAAAUUAAAUAAUAGGUCCACCAGAAAAAAGAGUCACAAAACCCCUAGCUUCUCCUUGAGGUUACCCCUCUAUGGAGAGCCUUCUGACACAUAUUCUUAUGCUGUUUUGGCAGAAACCAGGACCCUACCAGAUGGAAACUGCUGACCUCAAACAUAUAGAGCCUAAACUGGUUGGAGGCAGAAGAUUGAUCACUCUGUUAACUCACCACCAACCAAUCAGAAAAAUGUCCAUGACAUGGUCAUACACCCUGUGACCCUCACCCCUAAUGCUGCUUUGAAAAACCCUUUCCUGGAAGCCAUCAGAGGUCGGACAUCUUUGGCACUUUGGCUACCUUCUCUUCUUGCUUGGCACUGUUCAAAGAACCUUCACUGCCCCAUUCUGGACUCCUCCAGCUCCAGGUCCACCCUCUAGCC
ensembl:lncRNA